rnacentral:snRNA from 1 species
AUACUUACCUGGCAGGGGAGAUACCACGAUCACGAAGGUGGUUUUCCCAGGGUGAGGCUUAUCCAUUGCACUCAGGAUGUGCUGACCCCUGUGAUUUCCCCAAAUGUGGGAAACUCGACUGCAUAAUUUGUGGUAGUAGGGGACUGCAUUCGUGCUCUCCCCUG